rnacentral:rRNA from 1 species
UACGUAGGGGGCUAGCGUUGUCCGGAAUCAUUGGGCGUAAAGAGCGCGUAGGCGGCCAGAUAAGUCCGGUGUGAAAGUCACAGGCUCAACCUGUGAAUGCCGCUGGAAACUGUAUGGCUAGAGUCCGGAAGGGGCGAGUGGAAUUCCUGGUGUAGCGGUGAAAUGCGCAGAUAUCUGGAGGAACACCGGUGGCGAAGGCGGCAUCCUGGACCAAUUCUGACGCUGAGGAGCGAAAGCCAGGGGAGCAAACGGG